CCCAUUUAUAAAGGGAAUGUGGGUCCUCUGCUCAUAUUGUCCAUGACAAAGUGCCAGAGAAAAUACCACUGACUGCUUGAUUUAAUACUCACCCACUGGAUAAAGUUGGACUAGUUACUAAGAAUUACAACCUUCUGGAUGCAGGGAGAGCAAGAGAACCUAACCUACUGAAUUAUUUUCCACAUUAAACAAAGUUUUUGAAGAACCUCUCUAAGUGAACUCUAACACAGAACCCCA